rnacentral:rRNA from 1 species
UACGUAGGGUGCGAGCGUUGUCCGGAAUUAUUGGGCGUAAAGAGCUCGUAGGCGGUGUGUCACGUCGGCCGUGAAAACCUGCAGCUUAACUGUGGGCGUGCGGUCGAUACGGGCAUCACUGGAGUUCGGCAGGGGAGACUGGAAUUCCUGGUGUAACGGUGAAAUGCGCAGAUAUCAGGAGGAACACCGGUGGCGAAGGCGGUUCUCUGGGACGGUACUGACGCUGAGGUGCGAAAGCGUGGGGAGCAAACAGG